ensembl:lncRNA
AAAAACCUCCGCUUCGAGAGUCGUCUGGAAGUCCCGCUGUCUUGGGAAGACCCUGAUUUAUCAUGGGACACAUCAGUCUAUCAUCAUGAUAUGGUGGUCCUGCCUGUCAGCAAAAUCUGGACUCCUGAACUCCAUGUGACUAAUGGAGUGCAAACAACGAUGAAGCACAGCAACAAGGACUUGCUGGUGCACAGCAACGGGACUAUAGAGCACAUGGUCAUCAUGAACACUGUGGUGGGCUGUGAAGUCAAUCUGUACAACUACCCCUUCGCUUCAGAUUUCUGUGCCAUCGCCCUGAAUGUGUGGGCAAUUAGUG